GACGAACGCUGGCGGCGUGCUUAACACAUGCAAGUCGAACGGUGAAGCGCCUUCCUUUUUGGUGGGUGUGGAUGAGUGGCGAACGGGUGAGUAACACGUGAGUAACCUGCCCCCUUCUUCUGGAUAACCGCAUGAAAGUGUGGCUAAUACGGGAUAUUCUGGGUCUGUCGCAUGAUGGGUCUGGGAAAGAUAUUGUUUCGGUGGGGAUGGGCUCGCGGCCUAUCAGCUUGUUGGUGGGGUGAUGGCCUACCAAGGCGGUGACGGGUAGCCGGCCUGAGAGGGUGGACGGUCACACUGGGACUGAGACACGGCCCAGACUCCUACGGGAGGCAGCAGUGGGGAAUAUUGCACAAUGGGCGCAAGCCUGAUGCAGCGACGCCGCGUGAGGGAUGGAGGCCUUCGGGUUGUGAACCUCUUUCGCCAGUGAAGCAGGCCUGCCUCGUUUGUGGGUGGGUUACGGUAGCUGGAUAAGAAGCGCCGGCUAACUACGUG
rnacentral:rRNA from 1 species